ACAUACAACCAUAGACUGAGGAGAAUUGGGCAUCCCGUCCGCUCUGCCAUACACAAGCCUCAGAUCGGCUGAUUAGUAGUUGGGUGGGUGACCACCAGCGAAUACCUGCUGUUGUAUGUC
rfam:Phialocephala subalpina strain TAMH 11012 genome assembly, contig: PAC_scaffold_011